rnacentral:lncRNA from 1 species
AGAUCAUUGUAGUCAUUCCCAUAUUAUAAAAUGUGAGCCUAAGGGAUUGAGAUCUUCAUAGAAAUUGAGAAGAAUUCAGUACAGGAUUUCUACAUUUGUGUAGAAUCAGACUACUGAUCUCUGUGGCUACCAGAAAUCUGGACAUCUCAAGCUUCUGCAGUUAUAUAGAUGGCACAUACAGGUUUUCCCUUCAGCUGGAAGAAUCAGUGUAAAGGAGGAGGAUUAAUACAGCCCUUGAGAAAGAAAAAGAAAAAAUCGUUUUAUACAGUGUUCAGUUCAAAGGCUGCAUUGGCUGCAUUCAGCCAACUCAGGAGGCUGACCCUCUCCCCUGCCUCCUGAGGUCAAGUCAGUGCACCAAAGAUGUUCUGAGCAAGUCUAACAAACUCUAUAUGAGGAAGAAGUCCAGAGAGUCCAAUAUUCCUCCCAACAAAUCAAAGCAAGAAAUCUGUUCCUGAACAGAAGUGAUGAAGUGACUGUCUGAAGUGACUUAUUAGAUUGUCUGCCUCCUCCUGAGCCAAAGGUUUCUGCCUGAAACUUAGCACUGCAACAUUCCUGAAGGAACAUACAGAAACAUCUACUUAACCCUUCAUAUCAUUCACAAUUUAUUCCAGCACCACCCCAAGCAAACAUCCGGGGAGAUGAACUGGUCACUGAUUAUAAACAAAAGGAAGAUACGUGUAGGUCUCAUCUGGCUAAGCUUCUCCGUCUUCUCCAUCAUACUUGUUAGCAAUAACAGGUAGAAUGUCAGAAACAAAUAAACAAAAAACAGCCAACA